rnacentral:rRNA from 1 species
UACGAACCGUCCAAACGUUAUUCGGAUUUAUUGGGCUUAAAGGGUAUGUAGGCGGCCCUGCAAGUCGGGUGUGAAAGCCCUCGGCUCAACCGAGGAACUGCGCCCGAUACUGCAGGGCUUGAGGGAGACAGAGGUAAGCGGAACUGAUGGUGGAGCGGUGAAAUGCGUUGAUAUCAUCAGGAACACCAGUGGCGAAAGCGGCUUACUGGGUCUCUUCUGACGCUGAGAUACGAAAGCUAGGGGAGCGAAC